rfam:Roseburia inulinivorans CAG:15 genomic scaffold, scf160
GGGCUUGUAAUGGUUUCGACAGGGAUCAUGAAGCUGGAGAAGCGAGUCGCACGGGAUGCGUCAAAUUCCACAAUUAAAAUUAAACGCUGAAGAUAAUUUAGCAUACGCUGCCUAAUUUGGCAGCAGUCUGACCCAGAGCACCUACACUUUGGGACCCAGGCUUCGACUAUGUAGGAAACGACAUCAGCAAAGCUUUGAGCUGUUGGGCGUAUCAUGAAGCUACUGAAAGCAUUCGGUUGUUUGUUCCUGGAUGCCGGAGGGAAUGUCUAAGGAUAAACUAAACUCGUAGAAGGACAGGGGAUUGGUUUUUGGACACGGGUUCGAUUCCCGUCAGGUCCACUA